rnacentral:rRNA from 1 species
CCUAUCAGAGGGGGAUAACCCGGCGAAAGUCGGACUAAUACCGCAUGAAGCAGGGGCCCCGCAUGGGGAUAUUUGCUAAAGAUUCAUCGCUGAUAGAUAGGCAUGCGUUCCAUUAGGCAGUUGGCGGGGUAACGGCCCACCAAGCCGACGAUGGAUAGGGGUUCUGAGAGGAAGGUCCCCCACAUUGGUACUGAGACACGGACCAAACUCCUACGGGAGGCAGCAGUGAGGAAUAUUGGUCAAUGGCCGAGAGGCUGAACCAGCCAAGUCGCGUGAGGGAUGAAGGUUCUAUGGAUCGUAAACCUCUUUUAUAAGGGAAUAAAGUGCGGGACGUGUCCCGUUUUGUAUGUACCUUAUGAAUAAGGAUCGGCUAACUCCGUGCCAGCAGCCGCGGUAAUACGGAGGAUCCGAGCGUUAUCCGGAUUUAUUGGGUUUAAAGGGUGCGUAGGCGGCCUUUUAAGUCAGCGGUGAAAGUCUGUGGCUCAACCAUAGAAUUGCCGUUGAAACUGGGGGGCUUGAGUAUGUUUGAGGCAGGCGGAAUGCGUGGUGUAGCGGUGAAAUGCAUAGAUAUCACGCAGAACCCCGAUUGCGAAGGCAGCCUGCCAAGCCAUGACUGACGCUGAUGCACGAAAGCGUGGGGAUCAAACAGGAUUAGAUACCCUGGUAGUCCACGCAGUAAACGAUGAUCACUAGCUGUUUGCGAUACACUGUAAGCGGCA